rnacentral:rRNA from 1 species
UACGUAGGGUGCAAGCGUUGUCCGGAAUUAUUGGGCGUAAAGAGCUCGUAGGCGGCUUGUCGCGUCGGCUGUGAAAACCUGGGGCUCAACCUCGGGCCUGCAGUGGGUACGGGCAGACUAGAGUGCGGUAGAGGAGAGUGGAAUUCCCGGUGUAGCAGUGAAAUGCGUAGAGAUCGGGAGGAACAUCAGUUGCGAAGGCGGCUCUCUGGACCAGCACUGACACUGAGGCACGAAAGCGUGGGGAGCAAACAGG